UAUCGCUGGUGUUGGGUGUGGGUUAUGAGGAACAACAAAAUUAUCCGUUCAUCGUGGUAGGGAUUGCUUUAGUGUUGCAAUACGUGAUUUAUUUUAUGAACAGGCUUAAGUCACAAGAGAAAAUGGAUGAAACAGACUACGAAUCAUCAGUAUCUUCUUACGAUGAGGAAGAUGAGCGUCUGCGACCUUUACCUUCGUUGGUUCAGACGGUUCCACGUCCUGUGAUAGACAUCGACACCAGAAUUACAGAUAACACAGUACCCACAAGCUCGAGGUCAUAUUCCCAUGUGACCUCUGACAUUUUCUGUGAGAGGACAGCAUCCAGUUCAUCAUCAAAUCAGCACACUGCUUCAAAGGCUACAGCAGAGAAGAGUCCUGAAAUAAGCUCUACAUCCUUACAGGAUCAUCUUUCAGCACAGAACGUUAGUGCAGUUGACAUUGAUCCAGCAGUAAUUAUGUAUUCAAAACCAUUCAUGAAGGAUGCGUCAUGUCAGACAAUUGUGACAGGAGACAUCUUGUCUUUGAAUUUCUUUCAAGGAGAUGGUUGCUUGAUGGAUAGAGAAUGGACAUCAUUUAGUGAUGUAUUUUCUGUUCUUAUGAGAAAUGGAAAUUCCGAUUUGUAUAUUUGACAGUUGUUUAAUCAAAGAUAAAAAUAUUUCUCAGUUUUCACUUUAAUGCAAUUAUGAAUGGAGUAUUUUUGUGGUAGUUGGGACAUGUUGUGACAUGUUGAAGAUUCCUAUAUUUUAUUGGAUAUUUAAUUUUAAAAUUUGAAUGAUACCAAAAGUCAUAUUCCUGUUACGUGACUGCCUGUUCGCUAAUACUGUCAUUAUGGCUGUGAUUUCGUGAAUACAAAGUUUUCUAACUAUACUUUUUUACUGUUUAUUGUACUGAAAUGAUUAAAAGUGUAUAAUGCUUUUGUAAGAGGAUUGGGGACAAAAGCAUUUUCAGUACAUCUGCACUUUCACAAAGUUGUUGUAAUUUAGUAGUGUGGUGCAGCAUACCAUGACCUGUAAGAGGGGAGAUUGUGUCUAAUAUUUUUCUACGUAAAUGAUUCACAAUAAACUGUUAACAAGCACA